ACUACAUGUAAGGAAUUUCUUGUGUUUUCUCCUAUUUUAUUUAAUGUACUGUUUUGCAAUUUGUUAUCUGUAUGUCAUUUAUUUCUGUAUUUUGUACUCAGCACUGUGAAUCCUUUUUUGUCAGAUUAAAUGUUUACUUAAUCAGCUUGUGUCUCUGUUCUCUAUGAGCUUCACUCUCCAGAGGAAAGCUCAGGUAAACACGUUACCAAAAAGGGUUAAC